AUGCAUUUUUCUCUGUUAGACAUGCAAAGGAAAUAUUAUCUGAUCUACAGCAACCAGCCAUUGAAACCCCGAGCUGGAGACACCCAACAGAUGGGACCCAUAGAGACGGGAGGAACUACCAUAAGAGACCCCCUCCCUUCCCCGAAGUGUCCUGUAGUGGGCCGGUGCGGACAUCUGUCAGGGUCCCCAGACAGAUGGUCUCAGCUGCUAUGAACUUUCUAAUUAAGAGAAAGUACCUGACUUGGUCUAGCAGAUAAUUGACCUCAGUUGGAGCCAGGGGCACUGUUAGCUAAUGGAAGGCAAAUCCGCUACCUGGGGAAAUGGCUGUGUUCACACUAAUCCUCUGGCCUGCAGACUCAGGCCUGAUUUAAUAGGGGCGCUGAGGGGAUAGGGCAUUGUCCACACUGCCUGUCAAGAGCACAGCAACACAUGAGACAGGCUGUGCUGUCUGUCUCUCCAUCUCUAUUAACAGCAGCACCGUACAUUUUUCAUUCAUGAGGAGAACUGUAUAGUGAGGCAGGGAUGCUGUGGCUGUCGGUCCCGCAGUGGUCUUGUUUAGUUAUUUUUAUGUAUUUUACCCUUUUUAUGGUGGGGGGAGGGCUGGGGGGGGGUUAUGGGAUUGUUUAAGAACACACACACACACACACACACAUCUUUUUCUUUUCUUUUCUUUAUUUUAUUAUUUAUUUUUUUUUUAUUAAGAGUUUAAUUUUGCUUGGUUGCAGAUAGCAAAAAAAUAGCUCUACAUUAAGCAUCGACAUCAAGCAUCUGUCUUUCACAUUGGACCACUGGCAGAACGUCAUUGCAUGUUAUUAAAAUUCAUAAACUGAUAAAGUUUUAAAAUAGAACAUGGUGCUGGUACUAUCAUAGGUUAAAUUCCCAAUGAAAGCACAAAUUGAAAAAAAAAAUGUAUACGUUAAAUUUAACGCAAUUUGCUUUGGAUAAAAGCAUCUCUAAAAUGCAUGAACGUUUAAAUUUACUUCGCAUUUUAAAGUACUCAGAGUAUAGUUUAAAUAAAUAAAUAAAAUAUACAGAACAUAUAUAUAUAUAUAUAUAUAUAUAUAUAUAUAUAUAUAUAUAUAUAUAUAUAUAAUGUCUUCUAAAAAAAUUUUAUUUGUUUAUUUAUUUUUAUAUUUAUGUACAAAUUUUUGGUAUUUUUCCAAUCAGAAAUGAAUAGGUUACUGUUGUAACUGGUAUUUUUCAUUUACUGCCACAAGUUGCUGAUAGAACAGUGAAAUACAAUGCAACAGAUGACAAUGCACAAAACACAUCUUAUGUCUUUGUGCCAUCGAUUCCCUGGAGACAAGCUACAACACAGUGAUUAUACAAUGAUUGAGAGCAGAGAUUAUUCACAUUAAAUGUAUACAUUUACAUUUGCAGGGGUUUAAGUUAGCCAGAGUGACUGCGUUAAUCAUUAAGAGGGCUAAUUCAGUUAACUCAGAUACUUAUAGAAUUUCCUGCAUCUUGUUUGAGUCAGUGCUUAUUUUGUGCGCCUACACAGCUGCCAAUAUAAACAUUCACUGAACUGGGACGUCCUAACGAACAGUCUCAUGCCUGUAAUUAGCAUUUGAUGGGGGGAAACAUGUCGAAUCAUGACUUAAUUAAUGGCCAUGGUAAACAAGGCAGACAAUGACAUGUUUCAGCAAUCAACCGACAAUCUUUCUGCAGUACACACGAGUGGGGGUGGCUUGUCCCAUUACUGCAUAGUGUGACAGCUUAAAAAACAGAGAUUCUAGCAUACCAUGGAUAUUUUAUAAGCCACAUUUGUACAGGGAUAUUUUUACAUAGCCAGUUUAAUAAAAAAAUAAAAAAAAUAAAUGAGAGAUAAUUUAUGACUGGAGUCAGCAUAAUAUUAAAAACAGAUGCUUUAUGGAAAUCUGUGUUAUUUAUUUAUUUAAUAAUGGCUACUAAUACUAGACUCUUCAUAAACUGACCUUUUUAUUUUACUUUAUUUCUGGUUAUGUACGAGCCACAUGAUUUGAGGCAUCAUUUAUUUCUGUAAUCCAAACAGUGUGAGUGGGGUGAGUUAAUGCACCAGAUUAAAUAUGUUUGGUUAGAAGUGUGUUCAAAUCACAUUUGCUACAUCAUACUGCAGUAAACCUUUAUAACAGCAGUCCAAAAGUCAGCUGUGAUUCCCGAGUGUGGCUUUAUGGCAUUCUCUACCACGGUUAACCUUUAAUUGCUGAGAGGUGAUAAAGUGGACAGCCAUCACUAUAUAUGUAAAUAAGUGACAUUUCAUUCCAUGCCUGCUCAUGUGUGACCUCAACAAUGUGCCCAGCAUGGAACAUGUCGGAGAUAUUGCUGGAAUAAAGGGGUCAGGAUCUCAAUUAACCUCGCUCAUUUAGGAGACAGCAUUCCUCUUACUCAUCAUUCCCUCAAGUCUGCUUGCAUGAGGGACAGACAUUGACAGACUCUGUCAAUGAUGAGCUUAAAUCCGAGUUUAAAACAACAGUCUUGUAAUCUGGUUGUCUUAUUAACCUGAGGUGCAGUAGGAACGCCAUCCAACCUCAAACAUUUUAACCUCAGACAGGUGUGCUAUUACUUUUCCAAACAAUCAGACAACACUUUGUCAUAAAACAAGUGGAAAAAGGGAACCAAGCUAUGUUUAGAAAGCAGAAUACCAUAACAACUUGGGAUGGGACUUUUUUGACUUGGAAUAGUUCACCCAAAAAUAAAAGUUUGCUGAAAAUGUACUCACUCUCAAGCCAUGCAAGAUGAGCUUGUUUUUUCAUUGAAACAAAUUUGGAGAAAUUUAGCAGUACAUAAUUUAAGAGUCCAAACAGCUGAUAAAAAAAUCACAAAUCACCAUUUAGGCUAAAAUAUGAGGAGUCCUCUAUCCAUGAAUAAAAAAAUAAAUAAAAAUAAAAUAAAAAUAAAUAUCUUGUCUGAAUCAGGAGAUAAAUAUGCACAGAUCAAGCAGUCAAUAAGCAAAAACAGUCACACUCGCUAUUAACAAACCAUUAACUACGACUUUUGACUCAAUAAACUCCUAAUUUUGAAUGCUUAUUAUUAGUUAGUAAUGCAGUUGUUAAGUUUAGUAUUGGGUAGGAUUAUGUAUGUAGAAUAUGGUCAUGCAGAAUAUGUGUUUUAUAAGUACUAAUAAACUGCCAAUAUGUUAAUAAUAGGCAUGCUAAUAAGCAACUAUUUAUUAGUGAGAACUGGUCCCUAGUUACAGGGAAAACAAGUCCAAAACAGUUCUAAUCAAAUAUGUUGGUGGAUUCCGAUGUGAGUGGACAAAAGGGGAUGGACUUUUUCAGUGGAUGAAGUGGUAUUAUGGAUUAUGGAUUUUGGUCAGAAGUGACUGUUUAAUGUUAAAAUGCCUAAAUAAUGGAUUUGUUUCUUACAAACAUGCAGCUUUUCACUUUACAAGACAGUAAUUGGUGGACUGGAGUGGUGUGGAUUAGUUUGAUGUUUUUUAUCAGUCGUUUGGACUCUCAUUCUGAUGGCACCCAUUCACUGCAGACGGUCCAUUGGUGAUCGAUGUAAUGCUAAAUUUCUCCAAAUCUGUUCAGAUGAAGAAUAACUCAUCAACAUCUUUGAUGGCCUGAGUGUGAGAACAUUUUUCAGGAUUUUUUAAUUUUUUUAUUUUUGGGGUGAACUGCUCCUUUAAACAACCUCCCAGAACACUUUAGUAACUGGGUAUCAAUGUGUAAAAAAAAUAAUUAUCUAAACUCUUUAGCAACAACCUGGUAACUGCACAUAAACAUUAAGCAUCAGUAGAGAGUUUUUCCACAGACAACCACUCACAUUUUAUUCAGAAAAUGUAACAAACCUAGUUAAUGAAGAGGCAGAGUCUUCUAAGUCCUAUACCGAGUCUUUCAGCAUUUAAUCAGACAGAUAGGCAGCUAGUUAGUCUCAUUUUGCAGAACCUGUGGUGGAUGUCUGGGCCGCAAUCUGUGAUCAACUCCAAUCGUCGCCUGCCUGUUUAAUUGAAGGCAGAGGUGAGGGUUUUUUUUUUUUGUUUUGUUUUUUUUUUCGCAGACAGACAGGUGUGUGUAAUUAUUUCAGCUUGUCAGCUCUCAUCCUGUCUAUCUGUCAGCCCCUGUAAGACAUCCAGUGCUGCAGGGAUCAGGGAGACACUGAGCCGGGAUACAGGGAUGAAAGAACGGAGAUCUGGACAGAGGAGAAACUGGAGGUCAGAGGAGAGAGAGUGAAGGAGGCAAUCGCUCCUCUUGCCACGGUGAACCUGAUUUGCUGCCUGCCUCUUCAUGCUCUCUCCUUCCAUCAGUACUGUUGGGUGAAUGUUACAAAGGACUCUUAGGCUUAUAUAUA
ensembl:lncRNA